ensembl:lncRNA
UAGAAUACUGAGGUCUAUGGACAUCUCUGAGUGAACAGAAAAUUACAGCUGUCAUCUUGACACACUACAGGGUUAAUUACACACUAAUAAAAGUCAGCGACUGUUAUACUAUUACAGUUACUGGAAUCCAAAUGGUGGUGUUUGUUUGUGAAUCAUUGGAUUAAAGAUAUUAGGGCCAGUGAAUUAAUCUUUGCAUUCCUUCUCUCAGGCAUGGCACAGCGAAGUGCUUAUUUACUUGGCAUGCUCCUCUUAGUCAGAAGCACUUGGGCUGGGCCGAGUCCCUUGGUUACAAGUACGUCAUCAGCCACCCUUAAACCAGAAAAUACAGGACUCUCAGGAAGUGCACUUGAUAACACAGCACAGUGAGCCAAAAUUAGCCAGUAAUCCGCAUUACUCCUCAUCCUGAAAUGAUGCAAUCAUAUUUUACAAGGUUGUCAAGUGGUGGAGAUCAGCCCAGUGGCCGUAUGAGAUCCUUUUCCCAGCUUUGUUACAACAACCAGGUUUUAAUGACUCCCACAGUUUCAGCUUCUCUUUUUCAAAAUCUCAAACAGCCAUCGGUGGCAGGAUUUCUAAGUUCAGAUGGGUGGCAAAUUUACUGUACUGUAAGCUCCUUAAUUCUAGAAACAAUGUUUUAUUCUUUAUAUCUACUGAGCACAAUGCUUGGUGCAGUAGGUACUCAAUUAAUGUCGGCUAAAUUAUUCCCAAUAAGAAAAUGAAAUGAUGAAUGAGACUUCAUCACUAGGUGAUUGCGCAGGUUCCUUGUUGCCCACUGCCACCACAAAGCACGAGAAUGGGAAUGAGUAGCCUGGAAUCGCUUACAGAAUCACACGGAAAAGCCUGGUGUGACAUUCUAGCCCACAGAGCCGUGAGUCGGCCUCCACAGGAUUAUCUCAGCGACACGCUGUCUUCCUACUAACAAAGAAGAAAAGAGCUCUGUGAGAUUCCGGGAAUUCUAAGGCCCACUUAUUUCUGGUUACUUGUUUUUGGUAGGCACUGCAUAAAUACCAAAGAAACAGUGCUGAAAUGGAAGAGAUUUUUCAUUUUCAUUCCUAAAAAAAUUCAUGGGAAUUAUUAUGUCUCGUGAUGGAUGAGCAUGGCUAGAACUCUCUUUAUCCUGGAGAGUACCGCAGACGAAGAUACUAAGGCACCAUUCCCGGAGAACUGUAGAAUCCUGCUUCUGUCCUCUAGUGAUUCACAACCUAACACCUGAGUGACGCUGAAAGAAGAAACACCUAUGCUUAGCAUUAAGAAACUGCUAACGAGCAUGUAGGCUUGCAUAGGCUCUGGAGUGGAAAGAACUGGGUUUAAGAUCUGUCACUUACCAGCUGUGUGACCUUGGGCAAAUCACUUAACCUCUCUCAGCCCCCUGCCAAAGGUUAUUCUAACGCUUCCCCUCCCUGAGCCUUCCUGCAAGACCCAGAUGAGACCAGGUCCUCCCGACAAUUGUCGUGGCUCUCCCCACACUGCAGCAAGGGAAACAGAUGGCUUCCCAGCUCUCCUCUCAGGGUUUUAUUCAGCUGCAUCUGCAGAACCACACGGAGGGAGGAAUUUUGGUCCCAAACACAUGUAUGCUCCUCUAAAGAUGAGGUAAUUUCUCCUCCUUUCUGCACUUCGAGCAAAGAGAAGCCGAGCCCAGGAGAGCCCAGAGAGGUUCGCGGCUGGAUACUGUGCACGGCUCCCCCUUCUGAGCAGUCUGUCUCCAUGGAGACAGACGCACAACAGAAGAAUCACGACUGGGCCAGGUGGGGAUCAGGAGCAGCAGGGGAGACGCCAAGAGUCAACAGACGGGGAA